rnacentral:rRNA from 1 species
UACGUAGGGGGCUAGCGUUGUCCGGAAUCAUUGGGCGUAAAGCGCGUGUAGGCGGUUCGGUAAGUCCGCUGUGAAAGUCGGGGGCUCAACCCUCGGAUGCCGGUGGAUACUGUCGGACUAGAGUGCGGAAGAGGCGAGUGGAAUUCCUGGUGUAGCGGUGAAAUGCGCAGAUAUCAGGAGGAACACCGAUUGCGAAGGCAGCUCGCUGGGACGUUACUGACGCUGAGACGCGAAAGCGUGGGGAGCAAACAGG